rnacentral:rRNA from 1 species
GAUGAACGCUGGCGGCGUGCCUAAUACAUGCAAGUCGAGCGAACGGACGAGAAGCUUGCUUCUCUGAUGUUAGCGGCGGACGGGUGAGUAACACGUGGAUCACCUACCUAUAAGACUGGGAUAAACUCGGGAAACCGGAGCUAAUACCGGAUGAUAUUUUGAUCAGCAUGGUUCAAAAGUGAAAGACGGUCUUGCUGGCACUUAUCGAUGGUUCCGCGCUGCAUUAGCUAGUUGGUAAGGUAACGGCUUACCAAGGCAACGAUGCAUAGCCGACCUGAGAGGGUGAUCGGCCACACUGGAACUGAGACACGGUCCAGACUCCUACGGGAGGCAGCAGUAGGGAAUCUUCCGCAAUGGGCGAAAGCCUGACGGAGCAACGCCGCGUGAGUGAUGAAGGUCUUCGGAUCGUAAAACUCUGUUAUUAGGGAAGAACAUAUGUGUAAGUAACUGUGCACAUCUUGACGGUACCUAAUCAGAAAGCCACGGCUAACUACGUG